UAGACGAUACGCCAAACCAUCCGCAAGGGUGGGACGGAAAACCUAUGGAUCUUAAUAGAGACAGCCGGGUUGCCGAA
rnacentral:ncRNA from 1 species